GUGGGGAAUUUUGGACAAUGGGGGAAACCCUGAUCCAGCAAUGCCGCGUGAGUGAAGAAGGCCUUCGGGUUGUAAAGCUCUUUUGUCAGGGAAGAAAUUGAUUGGGCUAAUAUCCCGAUUAGAUGACGGUACCUGAAGAAUAAGCACCGGCUAACUACGUGCCAGCAGCCGCGGUAAUACGUAGGGUGCGAGCGUUAAUCGGAAUUACUGGGCGUAAAGCGUGCGCAGGCGGUUGUGUAAGACAGAUGUGAAAUGCCCGGGCUCAACCUGGGAAUUGCAUUUGUGACUGCACGGCUAGAGUGUGUCAGAGGGGGGUAGAAUUCCACGUGUAGCAGUGAAAUGCGUAGAUAUGUGGAGGAAUACCGAUGGCGAAGGCAGCCCCCUGGGAUAACACUGACGCUCAUGCACGAAAGCGUGGGGAGCAAACAGGA
rnacentral:rRNA from 1 species